UAAUAGUGUAUAUUAAAGUUGUUGCAGUUAAAAAGCUCGUAGUUGAAUGUUGGUGUCGAACGAGCGGUCAGCUUCGGCUGUACUGCUCUCUCGACUCCUUCCUUCUGUGGACUACGUCGCGCUUUACUGUGUGGCGCUAGGACGCAGAUCGUUUACUGUGAAAAAAUUAGAGUGUUCAAAGCAGGCCGUACGCUUGAAUACAUUAGCAUGGAAUAAUGGAAUAGGACGUCGGGCCUAUUUUGUUGGUUCUAGGACCGUCGUAAUGAUUAAUAGGGACAGUUGGGGCCGUUUAUAUUCCGUAGUCAGAGGUGAAAUUCUUGGAUUUACGGAAGAUAAACUACUGCGAAAGCAUUCGGCAAGGAUGUUUUCGUUAA
rnacentral:rRNA from 1 species